UAACCUUUUCCCUUCAUGCCUUCUCCCCCGAUUGUGUCGAUUAGCACUCGAGAGUCGACGGUCGUUGCAACUCUCGAUCGCGCCAACACCUUGUCGCAAAUCGAGUCUCCCACCUCCUCUACUCCUCAACAGAGGUCGUGUCGGCGGAGUUUUCACCGGAAAGCAGCCUCGUGCAAGGGAUCUUCGGUCGAGUGAGGGGAUUCAAGCUUCAAUGUCGCUGGGGGUUGAAUCGUCGAGAUCCUGUAAUCGGUCUUGGUUGGGAGUUGCACUCCAAAUGGCGGUCUCGUCGUCCCAAGCCCUAAAUCUGAGCUUACUCUGUCGGGUGCCCUUCGCUGCUUGUGAGGGGUCUGUCGUCGUGGUAAGUUGAGUGCUUCACGGUAAAAGACUCGACUACAAAUUUUUAGCAACAAGUAUCAGGAGCCUUAGCAGUUGUUUUCCAACCGUGAAUCAGUAGCUUUUGUAAAAGCUCCGAUUGUAGAUCUGUGGUAGCGGGCAACACCACUGCGCUUGUGUCGUCAGCAACACCUCCUAGCAGUGGGUCAACCGAGUUUUCUUUCGCCAGGUAGCCGUUAGUUGAUACCAAUACACUUGGAGGAGGAUCCUCACUGGCCGGUCCCACGUCGCUUCCGUUGAUGGAUUUCUGGUUUUGUUUAUCAUUUUAGUUGUGAUUUGAUCUUGUGAACUUGGUAUUGUAAUAACCCGUAGUGGACUUAGUGUUAUCUUGUAUUUGGAUUUGUUUUGUCGAGGAGUCAAGCCGAGCCGGCCCGCGGGGAGUAGUUUUGUUAUUUUGUGCUUGAUAUUUGUUUUUCCACUAUGUUUUAUCAGCCGUGUGGGUUGCGUAUUAUCUACAUGGAUGUGUUUAGAUCCAGCCGUGUUGGCUGUGUUUUGCAUAUGAGUAACUUUUGGCUA